AUGGCAGCACGACACGUUGAUGUUGUAUUGUUGACUGAUGCCAAUGCUUUGUUAUUUGGAAUAAUGACUAACAUGGUUUGUGAAUUUUCUAUGUGAAUGUAUGUUUGUUCAUUGAGUGUGUGUAUAUUGUAUUAUCAGAUACAAGGAAAUGAGGUGUGUCUUUUGUUUAGGAUAAUGCUACUAGAGUUAUUGCCGAGGGUCUGUGACCGGAUCAGAAAAUGGUGUCAAAAGUAAUGACCCGGAAUCCUUUAUUUGUGACAUCAAAUACGUUGGCUAUUGAUGCUCUACAAAAGAUGGUCUAAGAACAAAAAGUUUAAUACUGUAAAAGGAUGUGAGAAGAUUUGAAGAAGAAAGAAAGGAAAAGACAUGGGAAGACAGGGGAAAUAGAGUACAAUUAUACCUGUGACUAUGUUAUAAUUUAUAGAGUACAUGUUACAUUGGAUGAAAACUUGCAAUCGUUUUAGUAUGUAAUUCAAAAUGUGUUGCAUAGUGCAUAGUUCAUUUUCAUUAUGCAAGACAGGGGAAAUUUUAUAGAGUAUGUAAUUCAAAUUGGUUAUUAAAACUUCUCUCUAAUAUGUUAAUUCAAAUAUGAGUGAAGUCAGAGCCCGAUCAGGGUCAAACGACGUAUGAAUGUCGAUAUUUUAAGUCAAAAUUUGGGGUAUGACAAUAUCAAAUUGUUUUUUUCAUACUUGUUAUCUUCAAAACUUCAGAGGCAUUGUUCAAAACCCUUUUUUGGUUCAAUAGGGUGGAUACAUAACUCCAAUUUUAGUUUACUCUCCCAAACACAUCUCCUUUUUACCUAAGCCAAAUUGUAACCCAUAAAGAUAUCAAAAGUACAUGUUAUUAUAUAAACACUGUUCAACUAUUUAGAAUAUUUUCAAGGUUAUAUAUUAAAUACUUGAGAGACUCAAUGAGCUUGAGAGAUAAAGUUGUAUGGAUGGAAUUUGGCAUGAGUUGUGUACCCUUGACUCCACUCGCCUUGUACAAAAGAGCAGUGCAAAGAAACGAUCAGCUCCACACGCCUGGUAC
rnacentral:lncRNA from 1 species